CCUGGGGGCCGUGGCUAGUCCCGGAAGGCGGAGAGCAUGUGUCCGUAGAGAUAGUGGGAGUGAGCUGAGGGAGAGAGAGAGACAGGCAUCACACUGUGAGACAGGUUGCAGAAUGUGUGCGGCAGCGGCAAUGCAGCGUGCUCCAAGCACAAAGCGCCCCAGGCCAGACGAAGCAGGAAGGGGCAAGCCGGGCAGUGCUGGUACCUCUGUGAAGAAAACACUGCCACAAAAAUUCCUAAGAGUGCCCUGUGUCUCCCUGAGGCAGAGCAAUCCUUCUACAAAGGUGGAUUUUAACCCUGUUUUAAACCCUACUAAGAAACGGUGAUCUGACUGAAGACGGAGCAGCGAAAAACAAACACUCUGGGCUUUCUUUUAACUUGUUAGGAACCAAAUCAACCAGGGCAGACCUGACAGGCAAGGGCAGUGAUAGGAAAGUGAGGAGGGAGGAGGAAGGGAGGAAGAGGAGGUGGGGGCCAAGGAGGGGAUAUGACCUCAGCAAACCAGUGCAAAACAAAACAAAACAGCAGGAUGCUUAGGUUGGCAUCUCAAAGGGGACCAUACGGCUCAGAAUGCCCUCGACUCAAGGGGAAGGCCUGAUGAAAUCAAGUGCAAGGGAGUUCCUUCAGUGACCAGGAGGGUGGAGAGAGGAAAACUUUAACUUGGUGUGAAGGUAGACCCGAGGGUAAAACUAGAGAAACCUGGGAUGGUAAAAGCCCGAGCGUGUGUUUAGCUGUGCAGACUGCACUGGUGAGCAGGAGAGCAAACCUGUCAUUUAACGACCUCAGCAGGGCAUCUGCCUCCACACACCCACACUCCUGAAGGAUGGGCUGGAAUCUUACUGAGCAGGCUGGAGGUGUGCUGAGCUCUGCACUGAAGAAAUACUGUCUGAGACAUCAAGAAAAAGGUGUGAUCCCAAAGAUAUGGCCCUUGGGGAAAAUCUUUGAUCCUAUGUGGAUAGGAAGGCAGGGCAUAGAAUUGGAAGAUGCUAGAAGUACAACACAUGGGCCUUCAGCUUUUGCACAGGAGUUUCACAGAGACUUCUCCACAGCCUAUUACUACCCCCGACAAGUUCUUCUAAGGCUGGUCCACUUCCUCAACCCCCUGACAUUCAUUAUCCCCAUCCCCUCUGGCUCUCCUCCCUUAGACUAGCCUUCCAACAAUUAGCCCAGGGAAGGCAGAACUCAUGAACUUCAAUCCAAUUAAGAUGACCAAAUCCCCAAGGUUCCUAAUUCAUGGCCAGGUACUCACAUCAUCCAGCUUCCGGUCUGUGCCCAAGGCCAACAGGUUAUUGAACUCUCUUUCCAUCACUUGGCGUGCCUAGAGUCCAUAGAGCAGGAGAGGGAAAGGUGGAAAGGGCUAUAGUUAACUACCUUUAUGCCAUCUUUCACCAUUUUCCUAGGGUCCAAGGGCAGAGAUACAAGGCUUCAGUGCAUUUAGCCUGUUAGAGGCCUUUACACACCUUUCUGAAGCUGCUCCUUCAAGCAAACUCAUAAGUAAAGCUGUAAGCCUAGGAUUCUUUCAUAUACAGCAAAUUAGAAAAACGUAAUUUUUUUAAAAAGUAGCAGCCUUGGCAACAUAGUGAGACCCUGUUUCAAAAAAAAAAAAAAAAUUCAUUAAAUGGGCGUGGUUGUGAACACCUACAGUCCCAGAUACCGGUUGGGCAGGAGGAUAGCUUGAGCCCAUGAGUCUGAGGCUGCAGGGAGCUAUGAUCACAUCUGCACUCCAGAUUGGGCGAUAGAACAGGACCCUGUCUCUAAGAAAAAAACAAAUAAGUAGGAUCAUAGAACACAUAGAUAAAGAGACUUCACCUACUUGGAAAAAAAAAAUUGAAAGGGGAAAAUCGUGCCUGUCUUUCUGGAGGGGUACGUAAGCAUGUAAACCGUGGAUAACCAGAAUGUGACUGAUUUGGAUUAAAUAAAUAUAUCUGAUACGUUUUCACAUCAAAAACUUAAAAUUAGGAAGCCUGCUCAACUAUGGAUAUUGGUUGUCCCUGGGCUGUGUGCAUACACACUUUCUCUAGGCCUCCCAGGAGAUUAAUUCAUUCACAGUUUCCAGAAAUGCCAGAAACAGAAAAGUUUUCAAAGCUGCUACCAGAUAUUUUUAGUCCUUUUUUUUUUGAGUGAAACAGGGUCUCAUUCUGUUGCCCAGGCUGGAGUGCAGUGGCACAAUCAUGGCUCACUGCAGCCUUAAACUCCUGGGCUCAAGCAAAAUUCCCGCCUCAGCCUCCCCAGUAAUUGGGACUACAAUCAUGCAUUACCAAACUCAGUUAAUUUUUUAAACUUUUUGUAAAGACUGGGUCUCACUAUGUUGCCCAGGCUGGUCUUGAACUCUUGACCUCAAGCAGUCCUCCCACCUUGACCUCCCAAAAUACUGAGCAUACAGGCCUAAGCUACCACAUCAAGCCAUUUUUAACCAUUUUAAAUGAGGGAUUCCAUAUUGGGUCAGACACUACUUCUUCCAACAGCUCAAUGACUGGGUCAGGAAAUUAAGAAAGGUUAGAGAGCCAUGGAGAGGUGUCCCUUCUGCUAUUUACAGAAUUAUCGCUUUCCUCCAAAAUUGAAUGCAUUAGAGAUAGGAAAUCAAAGAAACAGAAAAGUCCAUUUCUGGGUAGAAAAUAUUACGCAUAGAGUUCCAUAAGGACAGUCUGGGCCAGUAUUGGGAACAUAACAUUUUUAGAAAUGAUCUGAAAGGAGAAGCAUAGUAAAUUUCAAGUAUCCAAACAACACUGCUCCUCUGGGCAGUGAAAGGUGAGGAGGACAGGUGUACAUUUCAGAAGCAUCUCACAAAGCGAUGUGAGUAGGUAGGAAAGUGGCAGAUGAGGCUUGUCCAAAGUGGGCAAGUGGAGAAAACUGCACUUGGGGGAGAAAUCCAGGCUUCUCUUGGAGAAUGAAGGGAUCUGUCCUAUCCGUUUUGACUGGCCGGGGUGGGGGUGGGGGUGGGGGUCACUGCAGAAUGCCUACAGGACACACUGGCCCUGUACACUGCCACCACCUCUAAAAGGCCAACACACUGCCCAGAAUUACGAGACAACACAGCCCUACCCUCACUCGAGCCAAAACGUGUCUGCUCCCAGAAUAGCCUGUGCAGCUCUGGUGGCUGAAUUUCAAAAGAGAUCUGACAGCUGCAAACAGUCCAGACAAGGGCAGCUAAAACAAUCAGGGGACAGAGGCAAGUCUGUAUGAGGAAAGCCUAAAAGAAUUAAGAACGCUCUGUCUGGAGAGACAAAGGCUUGGGCCCAGAGGCAAUACAAUCAGAGUUUAUGAAAUCAUAAAAGGUGAGAACUGGUUAAAUACAAAUAGCCUUACCAAACCUAACUAUUAGGAGGAGGUAGUUCCUUCCCCAGGGGCCUGACAGGGGCAUUCUUAGGACAAAUAAAAUCAGGAAGUACUCUACACAACAAGCAGCGUUUCUAGAAUCUAUUAUCCACAGGAAGUUAGAAAGGCCAAAAGUAUAAAUAGGUUCAAGAAAAUUUAGAUAUAUUCUUAGAUGACAGCUCCAUAAAAAUGAUGAAACAUAAUUUCACGAGAUGUUUAAUCAUUUGAGCUGUUGACAGAGAGCCAAAGCCCAGGCAUGGAGAGGCUCUGGGCUGUGUAAUUUGGUAUAUUUUGCUUUUUUAAGCCCGGGGGCCCAGGAGCAGAUCCCUAAGGUGGUAGACAAAGGUGAUAUGGGCUCUCUGGUCCCUACGGGCCGUGGGGCUCCUUCCCCUCUAAGAAAAGUCAGAUCAGAGAAGCUGGAUGAAAAGGAAGGCUCAGCGUCUCAGCUAUGAAGUGGGGUUAGGAGGAGAUGGAGGUACCCAGGGCAGGAUGGGGAUGUGCAUUGUAAGAGCACACUGUGUGCCAGGCCCAUGCUAGGUGUGCUCUGUAUGUGAAGACCAUGUGUUCCCAUGAGGGCUUGCUUAUGCACAGGGGACCACUUAGAGGAGGAUUGAGGACAUUGCGAUUCCCUCUGGCAUAAGCCCUAGAAAAGCUCCCCACCCUCAAGAUACCUAAGCCUUUGUGUAUGAGGGAAAGAAAGAGAGCAAGUAAGGGAGACAGGGAGAGACUGAGGUUGACUGAUUAAAAGGCUACCCACCUGGGUGUUCUGUGUGGGGAUCUGGAGGAUCAGGGCCAGUGUGUUGUGGUCGAAGUUCUCGUCCAGGGCCAGCAAGGCUCCAUGCACACCACUCUCAUGCAGGUUUCCGGCAUAAUCCCGGAGCCCAAUAGACUGAACCCAAUGAACCACCUGGUCGUUGGUCCAGACUAGCACAUCUGGAGUGUGGGGGAAGAAAAGGGAUGGAAGAAGAUACUACAUUUCAUCAAGGGCCCUCCAAGGACAGAAGCAGAACUCCCUAAACCCAGAGCCCCAGUCCACCCUGCUCUCUGGCCCCCACCCCAUCCCCAGCUUUUCGUAUCUUCUUUCUGUCCUCCCUGGAGCCUGGGCUCCUGGGGAACCAACCCCCCCACUCAUUUCAUCCCUGCCAGUUUACAGGACCUGGGGUCAGGCCAACAGGCUCUGAGCUUUCUCCCCAGAGCCCUUGCACGGGUCAUCCCCCUGCCACAAGCUGGAAUAGUCUUCAUAUUCUUUCCACCUUCAAGGUCUUCUCUAAGAUUUGCAUCUCCCAUCCAACCCCAUCCAGAUCACCAAGUUCCACAAGCACACCAGUCUAUAACACUGUCCCAGAGGAUUCAUUGCAUUUGUCCAGUUAGUGGCUGCAGUCUGGUAUGUGGGGUGGAGGGAGGGGAUUAUAGCCAACUUGGCAUGGACCAUGUCUCCUCCAUCAGACUGGGAGCUCCCUAAGGUGAGGCUGCAUCUUCCUUGUCAGACUGGAAGAUUCACUGAGAGAGAGAAUGCCUCCCCUCCACUUGGCCCAAGGCAGGGACCAGCCAAGCAGGCUACUCCUGCACCCUCUCCAAGCCUGACAAGCUUACCCUUGAUCUCGUGCUGGCUCUCCUCUCGCCUCUUCUCCAGCUCCUUCCGGUCAUAAUUCAGCCUCUUCAGACACAUGAUGCCAUACUGAAGACUGGUUCUGCAGGCACACAGCCCCCGAGCCAGAGCCUCAGUGGGGCCACACUCCCACACUACCUGUCUCACAUCCAGCACCAGCCACAGCAUGUCCAGACCUACUGCCUCCAGCACAAAGAGCACCCCAGCCUCCCCAUGCUCCUCCUUCCCCAGGGGCUUGCCUGCAAACCAUCCCAGGGUUACUCCCUUUCUCUGUCUAACCCAUAUCCUCCCUCUCAGUCAGGAAGCAGGCCUGGAUUGAUGGGAAAAAAGUUCUUUGAAUGAAACCAACAUGUCCCUCUCUCCAGGCACUGGAAUGACAAAGACCCCUACCACCUGCAAGUGAAAGAAAAAGCAAAAACAAGAUACCCCUUUGUAUCCCUACUUCACUCAGAGUCCUUACAACGGCCUAUAAGAUACUCCAUGAUCUGCUCCGCCACCUGUCUAACAGCUGCUUCAGCCACUCUCCCUCUUGCCCUCUCUGCUGCAGCCACACUGACACCCCUGCUGCUCCUCAAACACAGCAGGCUUACUGGGCCUGCAGGCCUCAGGGCCUUUGCACUGGUGGCUGCCUCUGCCUGGAACACUCCUCCCCCAGUCGGCUGUGUAGCUUACUCCUUUUGUCUCCAUUAAGUCUUUGCUUAAAUGUCAUCUUCUCAGUCCAAUUCACUAGUCACAGUGUUCAUCAGAUUUAGAAUUGCAGUAUCACCAUCACCACCCCUGGCCCAUAUUCCCAAUCCCUCUCACCCUGGUCUAAUUUUUUCCUAGCAUGUUUUGUCUAUUAACAUACCAUGUAUUUAUUAUUCCUUGACUGUCUCUUCCAGUUAGAAUAUAAGCUCUAUGAGGGCAGGGGUCUUUGUUCACUGAUCCUAAACCCCUAGCACAGAGAAGGGACUCUACAAAUGCUUGAUUAAUUAAAUGAAAUAAUUAAUUCACACAAAUUACUAAAAGCACUUAAACAGUAUCAGGUGCAGAGCAAGCAUUCCGUAACUAAGCCAGGCACAGAACCACAGAUUCUAUGGGUCAGAAGGAACCCUGGAGGCCAUUGGUCCACGCUCCCACCUAAGGCAGGAGUCACCCCUGCAGUUUCCUUCAGAGUAGUCACUGAGCCUGUAUCUGAGCGCCUCCAGGGGCAGCGAACUCAUUACUUCUCAAGGCAGCUCAUUCCCUCAUAGAAGAGCUAUAGUGUUCUUCCUUCCGUGAACACUACUUUGUCAUUCAGCUUCUCUGAGUUUUUCCAUCUUUACAGAAUUAGAAUGGAAGGUCCCUCCCAGCUCUACCUGCUUUUGACUCUUAUUGAGGGCACUGCUUUGUGAGAUUAAAUUGUGCAGCCUGCUCCCUCCUUUUCUCCCCUCACUUCUCAGCAGGAGGCUCUUCUGCCUAGAACAGAGCUCAGAGACGCCACUUCCAGGAACCCUUUUCUGGCCCAAGCCGCCCAUGUGUUGCUCAAGCCGCUGGUUUAAGCCUUGGUCCACUGUGAAGAGGCAUGUGCACACACAGCUCAUGACUGGAAAUGCCUUCUGUCUAAUUUCAAUCUCACUCACUAUAAUUUCCAGUCCAGUUCCUUUCAAAGCUGCUGCAUACCAUGGCAAAAAUAUAAAGCCCUUAAAGUUAAGUCAACCUGGGUUUAGAUGCCAGCUCUGCCCCUUCCUAGCUGAGAGGCACCCAGUAAAUGUGAGAUGGGGUCACACCUGUCUUGCAGGUGACAAUAAAUGCAAGGGCUUAGCCCAGCCUUUGGGAACAUUACAGGCACUCGGUAGUGGCAGCACUAUUAGGGUGACAUAUAUGACUAUCAUGCAUGCUUGUCCUACCAAAACAGGAGCUCUUCUAGAAGACCUGCUCGAUAAAGCACCAUGUCCCAAGGAAAAGAGCUCUGAGUGGGGUGUCAAGAGACAAGGAUUUGAGCCCCAUUCUGUAAUCACCUGGCUGGGUGACCUGAUGGAAAUCAAUCUCUAUUGAACUUGUUUUCCUUAUCUGUAAAAUAAGGUUUUAAAAUAGCCGUUUCUUAUCAUAAUAAUUAUGAUUUAAAAGAAAUUUUAAAGACGUAAGAACAUGCUUGUGAAAUGUUACAUGGAAUAAAAGCAGGUAGACACAU